rnacentral:rRNA from 1 species
GCCUACGGGGGGCAGCAGUGGGGGAUAUUGCACAAUGGGGGGAACCCUGAUGCAGCGACGCCGCGUGGGUGAAGGAGUAUUUCGGUAUGUAAAGCCCUAUCGGCAGGGAAGAAUUUAGACGGUACCUGACUAAGAAGCCCCGGCUAACUACGUGCCAGCAGCCGCGGUAAUACGUAGGGGGCAAGCGUUAUCCGGAUUCACUUGGUGUAAAGGGAGCGUAGACGGCCAGGCAGGCCUGGAGUGAAAGCCCGGGGCCCAACCCCCGGACCGCUCUGGGAACUGUCCGGCUUG